CACCGCCCGUCACACUAUGGGAGCUGGCCAUGCCCGAAGUCGUUACCUUAACCGCAAGGAGGGGGAUGCCGAAGGCAGGGCUAGUGACUGGAGUGAAGUCGUAACAAGGUAGUCGUACUGGAAGGUGCGGCUG
rnacentral:rRNA from 11 species